ACGUAUAUAUCAAAUGAGAAUAAUUUAAAUCUUAAAAUUCAACUAACAUUCUGUAAAAAUAAAUUUCAAAAAGCGACAUUCACUACAAUUUUCCUAAUUAGAAUAGUGCCAAGAGGGCCUUUUGGGCCUAACACCCAUAAAAUGCAAAGUCGAUUUGCAAUAAUUCAUCUAUAUUCAUUCAUUUGAUGACAUUAUUAAUACAAGCCUCCGUAGAUAUUGAAGGAAAUUUUUAUUACAUUAUAAUUGAAAUCAUUCCAUGAUUUAUUUGGAGAUAGAGUAAAACUGCAUAGCCCUAGGUAAUAAUAGGAACUCGAACGACCACACCACAUUCAUUAACCCAAACCCAGACCCUGUCGCACCUAAAGUCCCUAGGGCCGUAACACUAUUGACGACCUACAACUGCGACAACAAUAAUGGUAAAUACAAUAAAUAUGGUAUAUAUGAUGUAUAUAUAUACUGUGUUAAUAAAUACGGUAUAUAUAUACACACAUACACAUUGUUUCGGUAAAUACUGUAAAAUCGAUAUAUAUAUAUAUACACACACACGCCUAUUAAACCAAGUAAAUACAAUGUAUAUAUAUACUGUAUCAGUAAAUACUGUAAAAUCAAUUAAAUACAGAAUAAAUGUAUGUACAUCAAUUAACACAUUGGAUCAAACCAAGUAAAUACUGUAUAUCAAAUCAAAUAAAUACAUCGUAUACAUAUAUACUGUAUCGUAACAAUCCAAAAGAAUCGAGAGUCAUACCUUAUCUCUGUAGUAGUUACUGAUUGUAUACAAAAUUGAUAGAGAUAUUCUCAAUAAUAAACAACAGAUCAAAAACAGAAAUCAGCAUAACUUAUGAGUAAAAAACGAUACCAUGGAACAACACCAAUAAUGAGAAGAACUAUAGCAAAAGGAGAAAGAACGAUAAGAAAAUAAUGGACGGCAACAAAAGGAGAAAGAAUCAUUAGAAAAUAAUAAGGGAUGAAAAAAAGGCAAAAGAAAAAUAUUAUUAAUAUACUAAAAAAAAGGAAACAACGGUGAAGAUAGGAAAUUAAUACGGAAGGAAACACUAACAUAUUAAAACACUAAAAUAGGAAAUUAAUAUAAAAGAAAACUCUAAUAUAUUAAAACACUGAAAUACUAAUAAAUGAAUGCCCUAACAAUAAAAAAAAGGCACAAUAGUAAACGUAUAUAUCAAAUGAGAAUAAUUUAAAUCUUAAAAUUCAACUAACAUUCUGUAAAAAUAAAUUUCAAAAAGCGACAUUCACUACAAUUUUCCUAAUUAGAAUAGUGCCAAGAGGGCCUUUUGGGCCUAACACCCAUAAAAUGCAAAGUCGAUUUGCAAUAAUUCAUCUAUAUUCAUUCAUUUGAUGACAUUAUUAAUACAAGCCUCCGUAGAUAUUGAAGGAAAUUUUUAUUACAUUAUAAUUGAAAUCAUUCCAUGAUUUAUUUGGAGAUAGAGUAAAACUGCAUAGCCCUAGGUAAUAAUAGGAACUCGAACGACCACACCACAUUCAUUAACCCAAACCCAGACCCUGUCGCACCUAAAGUCCCUAGUCACUGGAGUUCCUUCCUUCAACACAAUUGCAUUCACAUGUUUGUUCUCUUUCUCUAUGAGAGCUGCAGCAGCUUUUCCAUUCGCCCCAAGAAGCUCCGGCCAUGAGCUCUUACCUGUAAAUUUGCAAUUUUCAUGUUAAGUUUAAUGCCAUAUACAAGAUCAAAGUUAAAAACAAAGAAGCCCCAGUAAAAUUAAUUACCUGGACAUUCAGAAGCCAUUGUCUUUCCUUUAUUGAUAUCUUCCUCUCUCCCUUCUCACUAAGUUAGAUGUAAACUACACAUAAUGGUGGAUUUAUAUAGAAGUAUUUCAAGUUUUAAUAGCAGACUGUUUGCCUGGAUGGAGUAGGAAAAGCAAAGGAAAAAAAAAAAGGAAAUGGUUUAAACGUGGGCUGCUAAUUUAAUUGAUUUUGAAAUUAAAAAAAAAAAAAAAAAAAAAAAGCAAACAAAAUGGAUUUUUGAACUAACAAACAAAAUUUUUUAUAAUAUCAUCCCUACAAGAGGAUAAGCAUGGUAAAUACAUUAAGAUGAGAAAUUUGUCUUCAACUUAAACGUCACAAUCUCAAUUACAUUUGAAAUUUUGCAUGUGACAGAUUUUAUAAAAGUCAUUAAUAUACAAACAAACUAGAGAAAUUUUGUAAGGACAAGGACAUCUCGUGGGGCCAAAUUAACUGCUUGGAUAAACGUGCACGUAUUCAAUAUAUCAAAAGAUAAGUGUUUCAACACGCACUCCCUUGCCAAGUUGGGAUAAUUGCUUAUCUAAACAUUGCAUGCAUGUGAGUGUAUUACAUUUGCACGAAUCCAAUCAACAAGCAUUUCAUUAUGCUUUUUUUCUCAUCGAAUUUUAUUUAGUUAAUAGGAACUAGCGUUGAACCCCGCGCGAUGCACGGAGAAAUGUUAAAAGAUAAAAUAUUUUUUUAUAAUAUUAACAAAAAAAAAUAAAAUUAUAUACUAAAAUAAUUGUAAAUUACAUUAUAAAAUUAUAUCUCAUUGAGAUAUACUAAAAAAAAAGUUACAAUGCUAAUAUGUGUCUUUUUAAUAUUCUGUGAAGUCUUUUGCUAGAGUAUGCAUGUCACGACCCAUUUCCGUGGGCCGGACCGGCACUAGGGCCCAGGUAAGCUUAAGGCCCCCGAGGCCCGUAGUAAGCCUGAAACACUAAAAAUUUACUAUCUCAAUAUAAUAUUAAACAUUUAGUCCAUAUGAUUAUGAAAAAUAAACCUCAAGAUUUUAUUAAAUCUCGGCCCGAAUUUAUCGGCUACAACAUUCCACAGUUCGGGCCUAAUUAACAAUGCAUCACAUUUAUAAUAUGGGUUCACAUAAUUAUCUCAUCUAUAAUAAUAAACGAUUAAAAGUAUACAAAUCCUACAACUGCGGAGUCACUAACUGUUAGUAUACAUAGCAAAGCAAUUAUGGAACUAGGAAAAAUUCUUUAUUGCCCUACGCCGAAGAAACAUAGCCNNNNNNNNNNNNNNNNNNNNNNNNNNNNNNNNNNNNNNNNNNNNNNNNNNNNNNNNNNNNNNNNNNNNNNNNNNNNNNNNNNNNNNNNNNNNNNNNNNNNNNNNNNNNNNNNNNNNNNNNNNNNNNNNNNNNNNNNNNNNNNNNNNNNNNNNNNNNNNNNNNNNNNNNNNNNNNNNNNNNNNNNNNNNNNNNNNNNNNNNNNNNNNNNNNNNNNNNNNNNNNNNNNNNNNNNNNNNNNNNNNNNNNNNNNNNNNNNNNNNNNNNNNNNNNNNNNNNNNNNNNNNNNNNNNNNNNNNNNNNNNNNNNNNNNNNNNNNNNNNNNNNNNNNNNNNNNNNNNNNNNNNNNNNNNNNNNNNNNNNNNNNNNNNNNNNNNNNNNNNNNNNNNNNNNNNNNNNNNNNNNNNNNNNNNNNNNNNNNNNNNNNNNNNNNNNNNNNNNNNNNNNNNNNNNNNNNNNNNNNNNNNNNNNNNNNNNNNNNNNNNNNNNNNNNNNNNNNNNNNNNNNNNNNNNNNNNNNNNNNNNNNNNNNNNNNNNNNNNNNNNNNNNNNNNNNNNNNNNNNNNNNNNNNNNNNNNNNNNNNNNNNNNNNNNNNNNNNNNNNNNNNNNNNNNNNNNNNNNNNNNNNNNNNNNNNNNNNNNNNNNNNNNNNNNNNNNNNNNNNNNNNNNNNNNNNNNNNNNNNNNNNNNNNNNNNNNNNNNNNNNNNNNNNNNNNNNNNNNNNNNNNNNNNNNNNNNNNNNNNNNNNNNNNNNNNNNNNNNNNNNNNNNNNNNNNNNNNNNNNNNNNNNNNNNNNNNNNNNNNNNNNNNNNNNNNNNNNNNNNNNNNNNNNNNNNNNNNNNNNNNNNNNNNNNNNNNNNNNNNNNNNNNNNNNNNNNNNNNNNNNNNNNNNNNNNNNNNNNNNNNNNNNNNNNNNNNNNNNNNNNNNNNNNNNNNNNNNNNNNNNNNNNNNNNNNNNNNNNNNNNNNNNNNNNNNNNNNNNNNNNNNNNNNNNNNNNNNNNNNNNNNNNNNNNNNNNNNNNNNNNNNNNNNNNNNNNNNNNNNNNNNNNNNNNNNNNNNNNNNNNNNNNNNNNNNNNNNNNNNNNNNNNNNNNNNNNNNNNNNNNNNNNNNNNNNNNNNNNNNNNNNNNNNNNNNNNNNNNNNNNNNNNNNNNNNNNNNNNNNNNNNNNNNNNNNNNNNNNNNNNNNNNNNNNNNNNNNNNNNNNNNNNNNNNNNNNNNNNNNNNNNNNNNNNNNNNNNNNNNNNNNNNNNNNNNNNNNNNNNNNNNNNNNNNNNNNNNNNNNNNNNNNNNNNNNNNNNNNNNNNNNNNNNNNNNNNNNNNNNNNNNNNNNNNNNNNNNNNNNNNNNNNNNNNNNNNNNNNNNNNNNNNNNNNNNNNNNNNNNNNNNNNNNNNNNNNNNNNNNNNNNNNNNNNNNNNNNNNNNNNNNNNNNNNNNNNNNNNNNNNNNNNNNNNNNNNNNNNNNNNNNNNNNNNNNNNNNNNNNNNNNNNNNNNNNNNNNNNNNNNNNNNNNNNNNNNNNNNNNNNNNNNNNNNNNNNNNNNNNNNNNNNNNNNNNNNNNNNNNNNNNNNNNNNNNNNNNNNNNNNNNNNNNNNNNNNNNNNNNNNNNNNNNNNNNNNNNNNNNNNNAAGAAGAAGAAGAAGAAGAAGAAGAAGAAGAAGAAGAAGAAGAAGAAGAAGAAGAAGAAGAAGAAGAAGAAGAAGAAGAAGAAGAAGAAGAAGAAGAAGAAGAAGAAGAAGAAGAAGAAGAAGAAGAAGAAGAAGAAGAAGAAGAAGAAGAAGAAGAAGAAGAAGAAGAAGAAGAAGAAGAAGAAGAAGAAGAAGAAGAAGAAGAGAGGAGGAGGAGACGGCGGUGGCAGUGUCGGUGGUGCUGUGUGGGUGGUCAGGAGGCGCAAGACUGACUUAGUGAGGGAGAUUAGCGUUGAAGAUAAAAGGGGAGGAGAUGUUUCUAGAUGGUUUGGGCUGGUUCGGUUCGAUUCGGGUUCGAAUCAGCCCAAAUCUUCGAUUUCCAACUGGUUUUCUGCUUUUUCAAUUGGUUUUCGGUUCGAUUCCUCACAGUAUUCGCACUAAAAUAUUAAUAUAAAUUUCCAGGCUGUCGAUUUAUUAAAUUUAAAUGAAAAAAUCUUUGAAAAUAAAAAUUCGGGUUAUUUCAAUGCAAUAGCAAAAAUCAUGCAUAGGUUGACCCAAGGGUGUUAAAAUGGGUUGAUGUGUCAGAUUCGACACGAAUUCGCUUAACACGCAACACGAUUAGGAUUAAUACGAACACGAUCAAUUUACUAAUUAUGUUAAAUUUAUUAACACAAACACGACACGAAAAUUAGGCAAGUGAUAUGAAUACGACAGAUUUAACCACCUAAUAUCAUAAAUAGGUUAAAUGGGUCGUGUUUAUCCAUAUAAAACUCGUGUAACCUGCUUAAUAUCAUAAACAGAUUAAGUGAGUCGUGUUGACUUGUAUACGACCCACUUAACCUACUUAUAAUAUUUUUAAAUUUUAAUCUAUUUGACUCCAAUCAUAUUUAAAAAUAAAUUUUUACAAAUAAAAUGCAUAAACUCUUCAAGAUUCAUAACUAAAACAAAAAAGUAUACAAUAAUAAAAUUUAAAUAGCCAGUUGGAGUAUUUAUAUCUAGUACUAAAAUUACCUCUUUAAUCUUAAAUCAACGGGUUACUCAUCUAACUCGCGUGUCAACCCGUGACACAACACGUUUAUAUUCGUGUCAUAAAUGGGUGACUUGUUUAUGACAUAAACCCGUUUAACCUUAACCCUAACUCAUUUAUUUCGUGUGUUAGGCGAAUUGUGUUCUUGUGUCUUGACCAUUUUGACACCCCUAGUAUGGCCUGCAUAAAAAAAUGCAUACACUAUUAUUGUAUUAUCAAUAGUGAUAAUUAUUUUGAGAAUUUAACUAAUUAUAUUGAAAUAAGAAAUUAAGAAUUUUUUUUUAUGUUUAUGAUUUAUUAUAAAUGAUUGUUUAUUAUUUGAAAUAUUAAUGUAUUAUACUUAUUUAGUGUACGUAGUGUGUCCUAAACGUGUAAAUGUGCUACUUUUUUAAAAAUUAUCGUAUCGCGUAUGAUCCCGUAUCUCGUGUCCCAUGUCCGUGCAAUCUAGCUCCUCAUAUAUGAAACUACUCCAUACACCAAUCUAAUCAUUGAGAUUUUUUUAUUUCCAAGAAAAAAAGGAAAUGUUUUUUAAUUUAUUUUUGUGUUUUUUUUAUUAAUGAAUUAUCAGAAAAAAUAAGAAGGAAAUAAAUUUUUUUUCGAAAAAAUCUUAUGUUACUUUUUUUUUUUUGAUAUAAAAGAAAAAUAAAAUUAAUAGAGGAAAGAAAACACAGAGUAAAGAGUUGGAAGUAUAAGCUAAUUCUUCCAAUGAUCAAUUUUCAUCAAAGGGUAAUUAUAAACGGGAGGGAGAGUUUAUUGAAUUAAAAAACUCAUGAACGGAAAAAAAAAAAAAUUAGGCCUGGCUAAUUCGAUGAAUACUGACAUUUUUCGAAACUAAAUUUAAGAAAAAAUAAAAAGGAACUAAAUUUUUUUUCAAAAACAAAAACCUUAUGUUACUUAUUCUUUUGUAUAUACAAGAAAAAUAAAAUUAAUUUUUCUCUACAAAUUUAUUUUUAUAGUAUUUUUAUUUUCCUUCUAAUUUGAAGAGAAAAUUAUCAGAAUUAUUUUCUCUUAUAUUCCUUUCUCAUUUCCAAACAAAAUAAUUUUUGCUUAUUAAUAUUAGUUUUGUUUUGUUUUCUUUUUUCUUCCUAUAUGACAUUAUCUAAAAAUAUAAAACAACUUAUCUUCUUACAAUUGAUGUAAUAACAACUUUUCUUCUUACAAUUAUGAUAAAUGACUGCUCUCCUUACACUUGACAAUUUGAGAGACUUAUACUUAGCUAUGGCUGAGCAAACAGUCGAUUCGGUUCAAAUCGAAUUGAACCAAAGCCACAAAAUAUAAACCUAAGUUUAUUUACAAUAAAUCGAACUGGACCGAAAUUUGUAUAUGCACUGAACCAACCGAAUCGAACUAGUCGGUUCGGUCUAUUUUUGUUGAUUUUUACUAUUUCAGUUCAGUUCUAAGCCCAACAGCCGAAUAUUUAUGUAACCGAACUGAAUCGAGCAAUAAAUUCGAUCCAUACCGAAUGAACUGACCAACCAAACCUCUCUUGGGCAUCAGACAGAAUCGAACCGAAAUGAAUCAGUUCUGUUUUCGGUUUCGUUCUAUCGAUAAUUUUGCUCACCCCCUACACUUGGCUGUUUUUUAAAAUAGACUUCUCUUUAGGCUUGGCCAGUUCGUUGAUUACUGACAUUUUUUCGAUACUAAUUUAAGAAAAAAUAAGAAGAAACUAAAUUUUUUUUUUCGAAAAGAACUCAUGUUACUUAUUUUUUUGAUAUAAAAGAAAAAUAAAAUUAAUUUUUCUCUAUAAAUUUAUUUUAAUAGUUUUUUAUUUUAUUUCUAAUUUGAAGAGAAAAUUAUCAAAAUUCUUUUUUCUUAUAUUCCUUUCUUAUUUCCAAAUAAAAUAUUUUUUGUUUAUUAAUAUUAAUUUAGUUUUCUUUUCUUUUUUCUCUUAUAUAACAUUAUCUAAAAAUAUAAAAAAAUUUAUUUUCUUACAAUUAUGCUAAAUAACGACUCUCCUUAUAUUUAGUAAUUUUAGAGACUGAUACUUGAUUAUAAUUUAAGAUAGACUUUUCUUUAGGGCUGGCCAAUUAGUUGAAUACUGAUAUUUUUUGGAACUAAAUUUAAGAAAAAAUAAGGAACUAAUUUUUUUUUUCGAAAAAAACUUAUGUUAGUUUUUUGGAUAUAAAAGAAAAAUAAAAUUAAUUUUUCCUACAAAUUAAUUUUUAUAAUUUUUUAUUUUCCUUCUAAUUUAAAAAGAAAAUUAUCGAAAUUCUUUUCCCUUAUACUUCUUUUUUAUUUCCAAUAAAAUAGUUUUUGCUCUGCUACGAGCUCUUACUUGUAAAUUUUCAAUUUUCAUGUAAGUUUGAUGUUAUACACAAAAUCAAGUUAGCUAAAAACAAAUUAGUAAAAUACUAAAUUGAUUAAUUACCAGGUGGACAUAAAUUAGCCAUUGUCUUUGCUCUAUUGGUAUCUUCCUCUCUCCUUUUCCAAUAAGUUUGAUGAGAACUACAGAAAUGGUGGAUUGAUACAGAAGCUUUCAAAUUUUUAGCGGCAGAGUUUUGGCCCAUUUAGAAUAGGAAAAGGACAAACAAAUUGUUUUAAAACGUGCGCUGCUAAGAAUAAAACGUGGCCGCAAAAUAAUUGCCUAAUAGUUGUCGUAUCUAUAAAUGUUUGAAUCCAAGUGAUAGAUAUAUUUUUUAAGCGACAAAUCGGAAAAAAUAUUUCAUAACUCCUUUAAUCUCUCAUCUAUGGCAUGCAUCGAGACACGUGUAUUAAAUCUUUGGCUACACACAUAACAUAAAUUUCACUCCAUAUUUUUUUACAAAAAUUUUAUACACUCUAAAUUUUUCCACAUUAACAAUAAUUUUUAAAAUUUUAAUUUUUAUAAAAUAUUAAUUUGAUAUAUAAUUAGUAUUACUUUUGAAAUAAUAAUUUUAAGUUUUUAAAUAUCUAAUAAAUAUAUAAUUGAUUUUAUUUUAUAAGUUUGAGGGUUUAAUAAAAGGAAUUUUUAAAUUGAAGUGUUUAAUAAGUAAAAUUAAAUACUUCAUUAAACUUUUCUUGAAAAGUACUGUAUCGAGUUUUUCUUCUACCAAUUUUUAUACUUCAAAUAUAAAAAAUAGCUGUUCAAAUGCAUUGUAUGUGAAAAUAGAAGAAAUUGUAAAACAUAUAAAAAUAAAAUAUAAACCAACAAUAAUGUGAAAACUAAAAAUGAAACAUUUAUAGUUUGAAAACUCUAAACUUUAGUUGUCAUUGUAUUGGAUUCUCAUUAACAAUUGAUUUUGAUUCCGUAUUUUCUAGUACUAAUCAAGAAAAAGAGGAGAAAUUAUGGGUGUACUAGAUUAGGAUUGUGUUAGAUUUUAAAAGAAUUAUAGAUUUUAAUGGAAUUAAAAGAUUUCUUAAAAUUUCCACAGAUUCAACUAGAAUUCUACAUAGAAUUUUAUGGAAUUGGUGGGACUUUUUUAAUAGAUUUUGAUUGACUUUGAUGGAAUUACAAUGAUUUUUACAUAUUCAAUUAAAUUUAAUUUUAGGACCUAAUUAAAUAAAUUAAAAGGUUUUUGAGCCUAAUUGAAAAAUUGAAAAACAAUGAGGGAUCAGAAAAGUAAAAUGCGACAUCCUCUCGAAAGUUGUUUUCUUCUUUGUUAAAAUCUUACCACCGCCGGCCAUCCGGCGCUCUCAGAACAGUUGUGAUGUGAGCAAAAGACCAUAGGCUUCUCGUCCCUUAACUGGACGACGAUCAUUUUCCUGGAAAGUAAUAGAUAUAUAUUAAUUUAAUAUUGAAAACUAGCAACCACGGCCCUCGCUAGCCAGGACCUACGUCGACUAUCGGAGUUCGUGCAAGGAGAAGGUGCACAUCAAUACAAGCCCAAUGCACGGCUCACCGUCUGUGGUUCACGGAGCCUGGCGGUCCGGCCACAACAACGACAAACUGUAUUAUUAGUUCUUCGACUAUUUUAAAGUUUUUCCAAUUUUUUUUAUUUGAUUAAAUUAAUAUCUAAUUGAUAUCAAAUUCUGGAAAAAUUAAUAAUCGAAAUAAUUCUGAAAAUUUUGCUCCAGCAUUAAUAUUAAUUUUUAUAAAAAUAUCAAAUUUUCAACACACAAUUAAUUGGAAAUUAAUUCAAUAAUUAAUAUAUUAUUUUACACCUUAAGGGGGUGUAUUUAGGGAUGGCAACGACUUGAUUACCCGCUUAAAAUGCACUAUCCAAAUCCAAUUAGAAAAUUAGGUACCCGAACCCGUCCAAAAUCUGAUUCUAAUUACCUGUUUAGCAUUAAAACUAUUUUUUAUUUUCAUUUUCUAAAAAUAAAAAAGUAAUAAAAUUAUAAAAUUAUUAUUUUCACUUAAUAAAAAUAUAAUAUAAAUAUUAAAUAUGAUUAUAUCAUUAGUUAUAAUUAAAAAGAUGUUUAUAUAUAAUUUUUUUUAAAAAUAUAAUUAUUUCAAAUAUUUUAAAAUAUUUAUUAAACAGGUAAUAGGUAAUAGAUACCUGAAUCCUUGAACCAGAGCCCGAUCCAAACUUGCUGCAGAUAGUGAAAAUACUAUCUGAAUUCGUACCAAACCUAUUUAUCCACUAUCCAAACCUGCUAAAAUCAAAUUAAAUUAGAUCGAGUACUCACCGGGUCGGGAAAAAUUAAUUGUCAUCCCUUGUGUAUUGAAUUAAUAACUCUGUUAGAUUUUAUAAGAUUUUUGAAAUCUUUGGAUUGAAGGAUGAAUUUGUGAAUGAGUAUUUUAUUUAUACCUAAUACUCUAAAAUCCAACAAAAUUAAUAAUUUUAUAGAAUCCUUCCAAAAUAGUAAUUUUCACUAUUAAUUAAAAUCCAAUGAUAUAAUGAAAAACUUUUAGUUAUGUAUGUUGUCAAAAAUUUAAUUUAACUAUAAUUAAAGUAAUGAUAAAAGGAAAAAAAAAUAUAAAUAUAAAAAUAAAUUACAUCUGAUAAAUAUAGGUAAAAUUAGAAAAAUAAUUUUGAAUAUACUUUCAAAAUCCUAAAUGAUCACUUAAAAUAAAACAAAGUAUAAAUGCUUAUUUGUUAUUAUUAAAGUGGAAGGGAGGAUGCCAAUAAUAUUGUUAUUCAAAACUGAAAGAAUUUAAAUAUUUAUCAGGGACUUAACAGUAAUUUAUAUAUUAGGCCUAAUUAUAUUUUAUAUAGAAUCAUAAUAGGAUUAAGAGAUCUCAUUUCUAUUUCUUCACGAACACUUAAUCGACGGUCCAUCUGUCACGCUCCGACUCUAAUCACCAGAGAAAUUGUCCGCUUUGGUGUAGUCCACGGACGCCCUACCCCGUCGUGUAGUCCCUGCACGCCCUACACCUCACGGUUUUAUCCCGCAGGUGAAAUGGGAAACUUCUCAGGAGGUCACCCAUCCUGAGAUUUCUAUUAAGCGAGCACGCUUAAUCCGACGAACCAUACAUCUACUGGAGGGGGUCCGGCUCUGAUACCAACUGUCACGCCCCGACUCUAAUCACCAGAGGAAUUGUCCGCUUUGGUGUUGUCCACGGACACCCUAUCUCGUCGUGUAAUCCCCACACGCCCUACACCUCACGAUUUUGUCCCGCAGGUAAAAUGAGAAACUUCCCAGGAGGUCACCCAUUCUGAGAUUUCUAUUAAGCGAGCACGCUUAACCCUGGAGUUCUUCCAACUCUCCCCCCAUUCCACCAAAAGGCGCCUCUAAUGACUAGUUGCCCUCUUUUCGAUAUAUAAUUCGAUUCAUUCCUGUGUCCCACAUUUCACUACCCAAGCUAGCCUGCCAUCCUAGAAGCUAGCCAGGAGCUUCGCUCUACCCGCCCUCUUAGGAUCGCUUUGCCGGGUCGGGAUGUCACACCAUCACUCCAAAAUACAUGUUCAAUUGGUAUUCCAAAUAUAUACCCAACAAGGAUUCUAACUAUAACUCUAAUCAAUGUCUUUCUACCUCUAUAUAAAGCGGAACAAACUCUCUACUUAAGGACGCAAGAUCUAUGCAAUAAGCAACAUAAUAUCUCGUUCAAUUACAGCUAUUUAUUGUUCUCUUACUGAUUUAAAUAUCAGAGUGAUUUUAGGCCUAAGAUCUCUCUUUUCUCUCCCUUUUUCGCUCAUAUCUUACAGAUUUCUACAUGGGCGCUAUAGAUGGAUUUUUCUAAAUCUAUCAAUAACCUAGCCCAUAUUGAAAGUAAAUUAGAGAGUUAAAAAAUGCUUAUAAACCUUACAAGCCAACUUGAAUAAGUUGAGUUGGUGGGAACCUAAAAUUUCAAAGGGAUAAAAUGUUUACUGUUGAAAUUAAAUAAUAUUUUUCAGAAAAUGAGUUAACUUUUAAAAUUUCAUUUUUUAUAAUUAUUAUAUAACAUUUCAUUUUUUAAAUUAAAUUCAAAUGUUAAGUGUUAUUACCUCUAUUCCAUAAUACUUGUUACAUUUGAGAAAAUAGUUUGUUUUAAAAUACGAGUAAUAAAUAUUUUUUUUCAUGUUUACCUUUUGUAUAUGACCAAUAACUAUUACUUCAAUUUAAUAGUUUUCUUACAUAAUAAGUAUUAAAUUAAGGGUAAUAUAGUCAAUUUAUUCAAUAAUUUAUUGUAAUUUAGAUAAAUUUAAUGAUUUUCUCAAGAGAUGUAAGAUUCCAAAUGUGACAAGUAUUAAGGUCUUAUAUUAGUCCAACAGUGAUAGUGGGGGAUACAUGUAAAGCAUAAUCUGAAUAGAGAAUACCAGAAUUUUGGUGGGUAUUGCCAAGAAAUUUAUAGGAGUUAGUCGGAUAUUAUAUGAAAAUUAUGCUGUUCAAUUUCAUCUUCCAAUUCAAAAAAUUUGCAGAAUCAUUUGAAAUGAUUUUCUAGAAGAAACAACCGUAACUCCAAGAUUAUGGAAGUAAAAUUUGUAUAAGUAAAAUUUGUGAGCUCCAAUACUAUCUUAGACUUUUCCAGAACACAAAAAUGUGCUUAAUUCAUAAAGAGCAAUCUGUAAAAUGAGUGAUGAUGAAGUUUAUAGAAUUAUCAAGAAGAAUCUGAAUGUUCAAUUACACAUUCAUAUUUUUUUUUUUUCUGUAAAAUAGUCAAAUCAUUUUGUGGGAGAGAAAUGACUAAAGAUGAGUAUAUAUUCAUUCGAUGACAUUAUUAAUACAAGUCUUUGUAGAUGUUGAAGGAAAUUUUUAUUUCAUUAUAAUUUAAAAUCUCUCCAUGAUUUAUUUGGAGAUGGAGUAAAACUGCAUAGCCGUAGGUAAUAAUAGCAACUUUAACAAUAACACCAUAUUCAUAACCCAAACCCAGACCCUGUCACACCUGAAGUCCCUAGUCACUGGAGUUCCUUCCUUUAACACAAUUGCAUUGCACAUUUUUGUUUUCUUUCUUUAUAAGAGCCGCAGCGGCUUCCCCAAUCUCUCCAAAAAGCUCUGGCCAUGAGCUUUUACCUGUAAAUUUUCAAUGAUCAUGUAAAUUUCAUGUCAUACAUAAAAACAAAGUUAAAAACAAGAAAACUCAGUAAAACUAAUUACCUAGAUAUCAACCUUUCCUCCAAGUUGGAUGAAAACGACAGAUAAUGGUGAAUUUAUAUAGAAGCUUUUAAAUUUGUCUUAACAAACAAAAUGGAUGUUUGAAAUAAGAAAUAAAAUUUUUUGUAAUAUCAACCCUACAAACUUUAAGGAUAAGCAUUGUAAAUACAACAAAAUAAGCGAUUUGUCUUAACUUAAACAUCACAAUCUCAAUUGCAAAGUUUUCCAUGUCNNNNNNNNNNNNNNNNNNNNNNNNNNNNNNNNNNNNNNNNNNNNNNNNNNNNNNNNNNNNNNNNNNNNNNNNNNNNNNNNNNNNNNNNNNNNNNNNNNNNNNNNNNNNNNNNNNNNNNNNNNNNNNNNNNNNNNNNNNNNNNNNNNNNNNNNNNNNNNNNNNNNNNNNNNNNNNNNNNNNNNNNNNNNNNNNNNNNNNNNNNNNNNNNNNNNNNNNNNNNNNNNNNNNNNNNNNNNNNNNNNNNNNNNNNNNNNNNNNNNNNNNNNNNNNNNNNNNNNNNNNNNNNNNNNNNNNNNNNNNNNNNNNNNNNNNNNNNNNNNNNNNNNNNNNNNNNNNNNNNNNNNNNNNNNNNNNNNNNNNNNNNNNNNNNNNNNAUGACAGUCAUUAAUUGAUAUAUAAACUAGAGCAAUUUUGUCACGACAAAGACAUCUCAUGUCGGCAAUGUUACUGCUCGGAAUCACGGGCACGUAUUCAUGAAAUCAAAAGAUAAGUGUUUAAGAGCAAUGGAUAUGUCCGCAAUAUGCUUUUUCUUUUAUUCGAGACUUUAUAUAUAUGGUAUAAGUGAGAAGUUCAAUUAAACCACACAUGAUUGAUUAUGAUAUAAGAUGAUAUAUUUAAUAAGUUAUCAUAGUUGGUACGUAAUUAUAUAUAGAUUUAAAGUGAAUAAAGCUCAAUUUACCCCCCUCAACUUGAAAGCAAUAUUUAUUUUUUAAAAUAUCAAUUUUUUUUUAUAUCCAUUGAAUUUGAAUGAAUAGAACAAAAAGUUUAAGUUUUCAUACUUUAAAUAUUUCCAACAAAUAAAAAUUAUUUAAAAAAUUUUAAACUAGAAAAAAUAUUUAAAAACAUAAUAAUUAUUAUAAAAUAUAUAGUGUUUUAUCCUUAAUUUAAAAAAUAAUUAAACGAAAAUUUUGAUUACAUAAAUAUUUUUUAUUUUUUAUUUAAUUAUUUCUUAAUUGUAUUUUACCUAAAUAAAUAUUCAUUAUAUUUUGAUUUAAAUUGAAAUUCUUUUUAGCAGUAAACUGAGUUUUUUUUGUUCUUUUGUUGUAAAUUGAAGGAGAUAAAUUGUAUUAAAAUUAAUUUUUUGUAUAAACUAAAUAUUAUUUGCAAAUUUAUGGGACAAAUUGUGCUUCAUUCCAUUUAAAACUAAAAUAUCUGUUUUUUUAUUAAAAAUAAAAUAAAAAGAUGCCUUGCAAGUUGCCAUUAUAUUUCACUUUUUUAAAUAAAAAAGAAAGGGCUUUUGACAAAAAUAAUGCUCUCCAUAAAACUAUUUUCCAAUCUAAUGCUAUUUGAAAACUAUUUACCAAUCUAAUGUUUGUACUCAAAUGAAGAGAGAGUGUUGCAUUAAAACCACCAAUUUAGCUAGUGGUUUCAGUACAAUAGAAAAAGUAAUCCAUAAUGACAAUCAGUAAAACGUAGUUAUAUGAAUAAAUAAUAAUUUUAUUUUGUAUUGAGACCACCAAUCCAAUUGGUGGGUUCCAUACGAAAUGAAGAUUCCAAUUUGUCUUUUCACUAAAACACACAAUUCAUUUAGUGGUCUUCGUGCAGCUAUGAAAUGUGACCAUUAGUCAACAAAAAGUACAUGGAGAAAUAGUGUUUUGUUAAUAGUCCACCAGAUUGAUUAGUGGUUUCAAUAAAAAAAUAUUUAUUCACUCAAAUUAGUUUUUCACCAAAACACACAUAUAAUCUGAUAGUUUUGGUGCAAUACAUUUGUUACGUGCAACGAACUAGACGUUGGAUUUCAUUUCGAGGUGCAAAAGUUGAAACUGUAAUAAUUAUUCGAUAUCUUUUUAUCUUAUCUUAUAAUUACCUAAUCUAAUUGAAUAAUAAAUUUUGCUCUUAUUCCAGAAUAAUUUUUUAACACAGGCAGAUAGGCUCCAACAUAUAUAUUACAAUUCAACAUCAUCAACAUUCCGUCGAUAAAUUAUUUGGCCUAUUCGGUGCAAUGAAUGAAGAAAUUCGUACCGAAACUCAUCUUAUGCUUCAACUUGCCCCUCCAUCUAUAGAGUUUCCUCGUGUUCAAACACCAAAAGAGCUAUAAAGGCGAAUGAGACGUGAAAUGGCAUCUAAACAUAUUCCAAUUCAAACCCUGCAAGUAGACGAUACACCUCAAGUCCCUUCCUCUAUAACAUGUAACUAUUAUGAACGUUAUCACGUUAAUAUGUCCAACACAUCAUCUUCUGCACCGCAACCUGAGUGGAGUGUACCAUCUGUAACAUUAGAAAUAUCAUUCAAUAUUCAUUACACUCCGAUGAUGGCAACCCAGCAAACUCGUACUUCUUUCUCCAAAAUACGCGAGGCAAUGUCAUUUCAAUAUACAAUACAUGCUUUCAAUACUUCUAUGAUGUCUUUCGGCGUACGUGAUGAAUCUACAUCUCAUGCUAGGCACUCAUUUAAUGAGUUCUUUGAGAUGAUGAUGGUACCCGAGCAAUAGACUCAUCUAACAUUUUCUAGUCCGCAACAACCAUUGAAUGUGGUUCAAGCUUCUCACAUGAGUGUCGAUAUAAAUAUUGAGCAUUGAGAAGAAUAUCAAGGUAUUAGAAAAGAUGCAAUAGUCGAAAUCCACGUCGUAAUAGGAGGCCCUCAAGGUGUGGUAUAGGAAGACUUGUGGGUAGACAUUAAUAUGAUUAAUUUUCCAUGUAUUAGUUCUUAACAAAUUUUUAAUAUCAUAUAAGUUCAACUCGAAGCACUUUAUUACUCUCAGUAAUUUUUUACUGUGCGAGGAAACUUAUGUUGUUAUUACUUAACUUGAAAUAAUUGUUAUCCAAAACCACUAGAUCAUAUGUGUGUUUUGAUGAAAAAAUAUUGAGUAAAACAAUUUUUUUUAUUGAAACCACUAAUUAAUCUGGUGGAAUCUUAACAAAAUACUAUUUCCCAUGUACUUUUCACUGACUAGUGGACACAUCUCAUAGUUGCACUAAAACCACCCAAACGAAUUAUGUGUUUUAGUGAAACGGCAAAUUAACAACUUAAAAUUUUCAUUUUGUAUUAAAACCACAAAUUGGAUUGAUGGUCUCAAUAUAAAAUAAAAAAUUAUUGUUUAUUCAUAUAACUAUUUUUUGCUGACUGUUUAUUAGUACGAAUUACUUUUUCUAUGCACCGAAACCAUCAACUUAAUUGACGGUUUUAGUGUAACACUCUUUCUCCAUGUCAGGAUAAAUAUUAAAUUGGCAAAUAACUUUAAAGUGGCAUUAAAUUAGAAAAUAAUUUUCUGAAGAGCAUUAUUUUCGUCAAAAGCCAAAAAAAAAAAAAGGAUAAUUGCUCCCUGUCGAUUCACAAGCUGAAAACUCAAGCAUAUCCUUAUCCGAAUAUGCGCACGUGAAUAUAAUGCAUUUGUACAAAUCCACAACUUGGAUUUCAUUUUGCUUUUUUCUCAUCGAAUUUUAUCCUCCACUCACAAGAUGAUAAAAAGAAUCUCGCUAAUGAAAUGAAAAAUAUAAAAAUAGAAAUAAAAAAUGUCUUGGUCAAAUAUUUUUUAUCUUUUUAUUUGGUAUAAAUAAUUUUGAAAUGUUUAAUGAACUCGAAAGUCAUGUAUAUGAAUAUAAUUUUUAUUCCAAUAUUUAGUAUGUAGAAUUAAAUAAAAAUUGAGAUUACAUUCAUAUAUUUAGUUAAUAAAAAUAGUGGAAAGAAUAAAAAAAAUCAAAGUUGUCUUCUCUAUUCUUUCCCGUUAUAUUGCAUUUCUUUUUUAUCGAUAACUUAUCAAAUUUGUCUGAUUAAUAAUUCGUACCAGUUGGGUCUUGUAUAAAAAUCCUAUAUUUAAUUUAUUAUGGGUCUUGUAUAAAAAUUAAGGGUAAUGUAGUUAAUUUAAUCAAUAAUUUAUUGUAAUUUAGACAAAUUUCAUGAUUUUAUUAAGAAUUGUGAAAUUUCAAAUAUGAUAAGUAUUAUGGAAUAGAGUUAGUAUUAAGGUCUUAUAUUAGUCCAAUGGUGAUAGUGGGGGAUACAUAUAAAGCAUAAUCUGAAAAUUAUAGGAGUUAGUCUGAUAUUAUAUGAAAAUUAUGCUGUUCAAUUUCAUCUUUCAAUUCAUAACCCAAAACCCAGACCCUGUCACACCUAAAGUCCCUAGUAACUGGAGUUCCUUCCUUUAACACAAUUGCGUUGCACAUUUUUGUUUUCUUUCUUCAUGAGAGCUGCAGCGGCUUCCCCAUUCUCUCCAAAAAGCUCUGGCCAUGAGCUUUUACCUGUAAAUGGAUGUUUGAAAUUAAGAAAUAAAAUUUUUUGUAAUAUCAACCCUACAAACUUUAAGGAUAAGCAUUGUAAAUACAACAAAAUAAGCAAUUUGUCUUAACUUAAACAUCACAAUCUCAAUUGCAAAGUUUUCCAUGUCAAAGAUUUUAUAACAGUCAUUAAUUGAUAUAUAAACUAGACCAAUUUUGUCACGACAAAGACAUCUCAUGUCGGCAAUGUAACUGCUCGGAAACACGUGCACGUAUUCAAGAGAUCAAAAGAUAAGUGUUUAAGAGCAAUGGAUAUGUCGGCAAUUUACUUUUUCUUUUAUUCGAGACUUUAUAUAUAUGGUAUAAAUGAAAAGUUCAAUUAAAUCACACAUGGUUGAUUAUGAUAUAAGAUGAUAUAUUUAAUAAUCAUCAUAGUUGGUACUUGAUUUAAAGUGAAUAAAGCUCAAUUUACCCCCUCAACUUGAAAGCAAUAUUUAUUUUUUUAAAAUAUCAAUUUUUUUAAUGUCCAUAGAAUUUGAAUGAAUAGAACAAAAAGUCUAAGUUUUCAUAAUUUAAAUAUUUCCAACAAAUAAAAAUUAUUUAAAGAAUUUUAAACUAGAAAAAAAUUAUUUAAAAACAUAAUAAUAAUUAUAAAAUAUAUAGUGUUUUAUCAUUAAUUUAAAAAAUAAUUAAACGAAAAUUUUGAUUACAUAAAUAUUUUUUAUUUUUUAUUUAAUUAUUUCUUAAUUGUAUUUUACCUAAAUAAAUAUUCAUUAUAUUUUGAUUUAAAUUGAAAUUCUUUUUAGCAGUAAACUGAGUUUUUUUUGUUCUUUUGGUGUAAAUUGAAGGAGAUAAAUUGUAUUAAAAUUAAUUUUUUGUAUAAAUUAAAUAUUAUUUGCAAAUUUAUGGGACAAAUUGUGCUUCAUUCCAUUUAAAACUAAAAUAUCUGUUUUUUUAUUAAAAAAUAAAAUAAAAAGAUGCCUUGCAAGUUGCCAUUAUAUUUCACUUUUUUAAAUAAAAAAGAAAGGGCUUUUGACAAAAAUAAUGCUCUCCAUAAAACUAUUUUCCAAUUUAAUACCAUUUGAAAACUAUUUACUAAUCUAAUGUUUGUCCUCAAAUGGAGAGAGAGUGUUGCACUAAAACCACCAAUUGAGUUAGUGGUUUCAGUGCAAUAGAAAAAGUAAUCCACACUGACAAGCAGUAAAAUAUAGUUAUAUGAAUAAAUAAUAAUUUUUAUUUUGUAUUGAGACCACCAAUCCAAUUGGUGAUUUCAAUACGAAAUGAAGAUGUUAAGUUUUCAAUUUGUCUUUUCACUAAAACACACAAUUCAUUUAAUGUUCUUGCUGCAACUAUGAGAUAUGACUACUAGUCAACAAAAAGUACAUGGAGAAAUAGUGUUCUGUUAAUAGUCCACCAGAUUAAUUAAUAGAUUCAAUAAAAAAAUAUUUAUUCACUUAAAAUAUUUUUUCACCAAAACACACAUAUAAUCUGGUGGUUUUGGUGCAAUACAUUUGAUAUGUGCAACGAACUAAACGUUGGAUUUCAUUUCGAGGUGCAGAAGUUAGAACUGUGAUAAUUAUUCGAUAUCUUUUUAUCUUAUCUUAUAAUUACUUAAUCUAAUUGAAUAAUAAAUUUUGCUCUUAUUCCAUAAUAUUUUUUUAAUACAGGCAGAUGGGCUCCAACAUAUAUAUUACAGUUCAACAUCAUCAACAUUCCGUUGAAAAUUAUUUAGCCUACUCGGUGCAAUGAAUGAAGAAAUUUGUACCGAAAAUCAUCUUAUGCUUCAGCUUGCCCCUCUAUCUAUAGAGUUUCAUCGUGUUCAAACACCAAAAGAACUAUAGAGGUGAAGGAGACGUGAAAUGACAUUUAGACAUAUUUCAAUUGAAACCCUGCAAGUAGACGAUACAUCUCAAGUCUCUUCUUCUAUGACAUAUAACUAUUAUGAAUGUUAUCACGUUAAUAUGUCCAACACAUCAUCUUCUGCAUCACAACCUGAGUGGAAUAUACCAUCUGUAGCAUUAGAAAUGUCAUUCAAUAUUCAUUACACUCCGAUGAUGGCAAUCCAGUAAACUCGUACUUCUUUCUCCAAAAUACGUGAAGCAAUGUCAUUUCAAUAUACAGUACAUGCUUUCAAUACUUUUAUGCUGUCUUUCGGCACACGUGAUGAAUCUACAUCUCAUCCUAGGCACUCAUUUAAUGAUUUCUUUGAGAUGAUGAUGGUACCAGAGCAAUAGACUUAUCUAACAUUUUCUAGCCCAUAACAACCAUUGAAUGUGGUUCAAGCUUCUCACAUGAGUGUUGAUAUAAAUAUUGACUAUGGAGAAGAAUAUCAAGGUAUUAGAAAAGAUGCAGUACGUCGAAAUUCACGUCGUAAUAGGAGGCCCCAAGGUGUGGUAUAGGAGGACUUGUGGGUAAACAUUAAUAUGAUUAAUUUUCUAUGUAUUAGUUAUUUAAAAAUUUUUAAUAUCAUAUAAGUUCAACUCGAAACACUUUAUUACUCUCGGUAAUUUUUAACUGUGUAAGGAAACUUAUGUUGUUAUUACUUAACUUGAAAUAAUUGUUAUCCAAAACCACUAGAUCAUAUGUGUGUUUUGAAGAAAAAAUAUUGAGUAAAACAAUUUUUUUUAUUGAAACCACUAAUUAAUCAGGUGGAUUCUUAACAAAAUACUAUUUCUCCAUAUACUUUUUACUGACUAGUGGACACAUCUCAUAGUUGCACUAAAACCACCAAAUUGACAGUUUAAAAUUUUCAUUUUGUUUUAAAACCAACAAUUGGAUUGAUAUUCUCAAUACAAAAUAAAAAUUAUUGUUUAUUCAUAUAACUAUUUUUUGCUAAUUACUUAACAGUAUGAGUUACUUUUCCUAUUGCACUGGAAUCAUCAACUUAAUUGACGGUUUUAAUGCAACACUCUCUCUUUCCAUAUCAGGACAAUUAACAAAUAAUUUUAAAAUGGCAUUAAAUUAGAAAACAGUUUUUCUGAAGCGCAUUAUUUUCGUCCAAAAAAAAAAAAAAAAAGGAUAAUUGCUCGCUAUCGAUUCACAAGCUGAAAAGUCAAGCAUAUCCUUAUCUGAAUAUGCGCGCGUGAAUGUCAUGCAUUUGUACAAAUCCACAACAUGGAUUUCAUUUUGCUUUUUUCUCAUCGACUUUUAUCCUGCACUCACAAGAUGAUAAAAAGAAUCUCGCUAAUGAAAUGAAAAAUACAAAAAUAGAAAUAAAAAAUAUCUUGGUCAAAUAUUUUUUUUAUCUUUUUAUUUGGUAUAAAUAAUUUUAAAAAGUUUAAAGAACUCGAAAAUCAUGUAUAUUAAUAUAAUUUUUAUUCCAAUAUUUAGUAUGUAGAAUUAAAUAAAAAUUUAUAUUACAUUCAUAUAAUUAGUUAAUAAGAAUAGUGGAAAGAAUAAAAAAAUCAAAGUUGUCUUCUCUAUUCUUUCCCCUUAUAUUGCAUUUCUUUUUGAUCGAUAACUUACCAAAUUUGUCUGAUUAAUAAUUUAUACCAGUUGGGUCUUGUAUAAAAAUCCUAUAUUUGUUUUAUUAUGGGUUUACUCUCUGUGAUAUAAUGAAUAAAACCGACCAAUUUUAUACAAAUUUACUGAUCAAUUGCUGAUUAUUUUUCUACAUAUUACUGACGAAAUAAUUUAUUUAUGAAAAUUAGAAAUUGAUAGGAAUGACCAUUUCAUGACAAAGCACCAAUAAAAUUAACGAUAAAAUUCCGACAAUUUACCGAUAAAACUUUUCCGACUAAAUUAGUAACGAAUUCUAUGAUAAAUAAAAUUCAUGUUUAUCGGUAGAAAAUAUAAAUUUAGCGGCAAAAUAGCUGUCAAUAAUUUACCCUCAGAAUGAUAAUUGGUAGGUACUAAUUUAGCGAUAGGUACUAAUUAUGUGUCAGCAAUAGGUAACCUAAAUUGCAAUAAAAUUUUCAUGAUCUACCUACUGAAUUUUCUGUGGCUAAUUUUUUAUUUUUUUUUAGUGAAGUCUAAUUAAAAUACCCACUGAUAACAGAUUUUUACAUUGAAAUUACUAUUAAAAUAAAGGAAUUAUAUUCAAUUAUCUUGUGCAAUUCUUCAAACUUCAGAACAUUAUUUGAAAUUUCUUGCAAUAGUUGUACUUAGACAACUCCUCAACCAAUUUUUUUAAUAAACAAGUGCAAGUAAAUUAUGGCUUUAAAGUUUAAGAUUAAAUAUAAUCAAUAAAAUUAAUUAUUACAUUACAUGUAAUAUAAAAAAAAAUUAAAUUUCAAAAUAAAUCCCUUUUUCCUUUUAAAAACUUUGACAUGUCACACGUAUACAGCACUGAAAUCCCUUUGUGAAGAAUGUUCUUUUAACUUUCAUUUUCCUUUUAAAUAUUUCCGUAGUGUAGAACCAAUGAAAAUUUGAAGUAAUAAAUGAAUGAUGAUAAAGUUUAAUAAAAUUAUCCAAAUGAAUUUGAACGUUCUUAGGUUUAUCAUAUUAUUAAAUAUAAAUUAAAAGCUCAAUCACACAUUCAUAAUUCUUUCUUCUUUAAAAUGAUGAAAUCGUUGCAUGGAGAGAAAUGACUAAAAAUAAUGAAAUUAUUUAAAAAUAAUGUAAAUUCUAAUUUUCAGAAAUAAAAGUAAUAAAUAAUGACGUAGAUUGAAUAGAUCAAUUAUUAUUUAAAUAUUUUUAAAUUGCAAUAGCAAUUAUUCAAUCAAUGAAAUUACUAAUACAAUCCUUCGUGUAUAUAUUGAAGGAAACUUUUAUUUUAUUAUAAUUGAAAUCAUUCCAUGAUUUAUUUGAAGAUACAGUAAAACUGCAUUGCCCUAGGUAAUAAUAGGAACUUGAACCACCACACCACAUUCAUUAACCCAAACCCAGACCCUGUCGCACCUAAAGUCCUUAGUCACUGGGGUUCCUUCCUUCAACACAAUUGCAUUCACAUUACUGUUCUCUUUCUCUAUGAGAGCUGCAGCAGGUUUUCCAUUCGCCCCAAGCAGCUCCGGCCAUGAGCUCUUACCUGCAAAUUUUCAAUUUUUCAGGACAUACACAAAACCAAAGUUAAAAACAAAUAAACUCAGUAAACUAAUAAAUUACCUGGUGGACAUAUAUCAGCCAUUGUCUUUGCUCUAUUGGUAUCUUCCUCUCUUCCUUUCUACUAAGUGUGAAGAAAACUGAAGCUAGUGAUGGAUUUAUAUAGAAGCUUUUUAAUUUUUAGCAGGAGAUUUUUUUUUUUUUUUAUUUAGUGGUGGACAAAAAAGAAAUGUUUUAAAACGUGGGCCGCUAAUUUUAUUGGUUACUUCGUAAAAUAAAUUUAAAAAAAAAAAAAGAAAGAAAGGGAAAACAGAGACCCAAAAUGUUUUAUUGCUAUUGCUAUUUCUUUUAAGAGAGAAUUUAGGCCCACUAAAUAUUGAUGUUUCUGCAGUAAAAGUUACACUAUUUUAUAAACUAAACCUUUCACCUCCAAACCUUGCGUGUGUGAGUAUUAAAAGCGAUCUGACAGCCCUUUAAAUUGCAACACAUGCAUUGUCUCUUUAGUUUAAAAAUGUCAUAAACUUCAUUGCUCAUUAAAAUAAAAAAUAUCAACGUUAACUUCUAAGAGAUUAUCAUCUUUUCAUAUAAAAACCCUUUCCUCUUUUUAAAAAGAAUGGGUUUUGCAAAGAGUAUGAAUCCAUUGUUUAAAGUUUAAAUCUCUCAAAAUUCUCUCUUCAAUCCCCCUUUUUUUUUCAUCUUUUUGCUUGAAGAAAAAUUUUUUAGAGAAAAGAAAAUCUUAUAAUAACAUUUUUUGAAGAACAAUUCUGAUCUUUAUAUAUGUUUUCUAAAUCCGUUUUCUGUUCUUCCUGUGUUUAUAUUUGCAUUUCUCUCUGUCUAUAUAGAUUAUGUAAUCUGUUGUAGACAGACUCUUUAAUUGAAAAUUUUUUGUGUAGUAGCUUAGGUGAAAAGCUCCGGUGUAAUAGGUUAUCAAGCGACCCUCUCCUUGUGUGAGAUUCUAAUGUCUUAAUGUAAGUUUCUGUUCUCUGCAAAAACAGAAAGGGUUAAGGUUGACUAGAACCUUUGGAAAAUCUAGUGGGAUACAGGUCAGAUCUAGGUGUUGAUCUAUUUUCUUGUAUUGUUGGUUUGUCUCUUAUCCUUAAAAAGAGAUAACAUAGCGAAAGAUUUCAAUAUGAGUCUUGGUGAGUAGAUGUAGGCAAGUUAAUGCCGAACCACUAUAAAUCUCUGUGUUUAUCUUUUUCUUUAUUUUCUGAAGUUCUGCUUGAUUAUAUUCUAUUUACACAACUGUCAAUUUGUUCAGAAAUGCAAAGUUGUUAAUGAGUUUCUGAUUGUAAAUGUGAAUAAGCUUUAUCUCUAUGGAAUAUUAGAACUCUGGAUUUAUGUAUUGUGAAUAUACCAAGUUCAAAUCUGCCUUUCGACAUUCAGUAUAAAUCACAAUAUAUGUAAUAAUCAGUUUUGUAAUCUUGUUUAAAUCUUUGUGAACCAAUUCUACAGUGCAAUAACUGUUUUUCAUAGAAUUUUUUUAAAAUAGGAAUAAGCUUUGUGAAGUUGUUCUAAUUGUAAUAGUUGUUCUUCACAGAGUCUUUCUAAUUUUGCUUAAAGUUUCCAGUUCUAAAAUGCAAUAACUGUUUUUCACAGAAUCUUUUUAAAAUAACAAUAAGCUUUGUGAAGCUGUUCUAAUCGUAAUAGAUGUUCUUCACAGAGUCUUUCUCAACUUGCUUAAACUUUGUGAAGUAGUUGUAAAUGCAAUAACUAUCCUUCACAGAGUUAUUCUAAAAUUGCUUAAGUUUUGUGUAGCAGUUCCAAAUGUAAUAACUGUUUUUCACAGAGUCCUUCUAAUCUUACAAUAAGCUUUGUGAGGAAAUUUUAAACUUGAUAACUAACCCUCACAAAUGCUUUCUAAUUUCGCUGCAACAGAAUUCUGAUUUUUAUUUUUUAAAGUUAAAUUUUUAGAAAACCCAAUUCACCCCUCUUAAAUUGUGACACAUAUAAACGGGACCCACAUAAUAUCAUCCUUACAAAAGGAUAUGCACGGUAAUUACAAUAAAAUGAGAAAUUUGUCUUUAACUUAAGCAUCCAAUCUCAAUUGCAAUUGAAAUUUUGCACGUGACAGAUUUUAUGAAAAUCAUUAAUAUACGAACGAGAGCAAUUUUGCCGGGACAAAGACAUUUCGUGGGGCCAAAUUAACUGCUUGGAUACACGUGCUCAUAUUCAACAGAUGAAAAGAUAAGGUGCCGUUUGUUUUGGAAUAAUUUUUUAUUUUUUAUUUUUUCCUUUGAAAGAUAAAUAAAAUCGGAUUGUUUAAAUUUUUUUUUUUUUUUGCUUUUAGAAAAUUAAUUUUAAAACAAAAAGUAAAUUUUAUGAAAUCAUAAACAGUGGUUUACAAAAUUGUGUUUUCUGUUUUUAAUUCUACAUUUCUCAUUUUUUUUAUUUUUGUAAAAUUUGUCAUCAUAAAAUUAUUGUUGUCGUUGUUGUUAUUAUUACUAUUAUUUUCUCUAUCUAUAUAAAUCUAAUGUCAUUUAGUAUUAUUUAUUCAUUAUUAUAUUUGGAUAUUAUAUUAUUAUUCACAGUUUUUUUUUCUAUCUCUUAUCUAUUUAGUAUUAUUUUUAUAUUUAUUAUUAUUUUCUCUAUCUAUAUAAAUCUAAUGUCAUUUAGUAUUAUUUAUUCAUUAUUAUAUUUGGAUAUUAUAUUUUUAUUCAACAUAAUAAUCAAUAGUUACUGUAACAUUGAAAUUUUAAAAUUAAAUUGUAAAAUAUUUUUAAUUAUUACAUCUGAAACUUUGGAUUUUUAGAAAAUUUAUUAUUAACUAAAAUCUUUAAUGACUUCAUAAGAGAGAUUUGAUAAUUGGAACAAUUUUUUCCAUUGUAAACAAAAAAAAAAAGAAAAAUAAAUUUUAGAAAAAAUAAUUUUUAAAAAAUAAAUAAUCAAAAAUUAAAAAUUAUUUCAUGUUUCUAAUAAAUAAAAAACUCAAAACAAACAAGUGUUUCAGAUAAAACAUAAAACAUUUAAUAAGUCAUCGAAUUGUAUUCUCCACUCACAAGAUGAUAAAACAAAUCUCACUAAUGAAAUGAAAAACAUAGAAAAAGAAAUAAAGAAAUAUCUUGCUCAAAUAUUUUUUAUCUUUUUAUUUGGUAUAAAUAAAUAAAUAAAUAUAGAAAUAGAACUAAAAAAGGCUUAUUCUUUAUGAUAAUCAUAUGGUUAUCUUCAAUAUUUGCAUAUAAUAAGUAAAAAUAUUCCUAAUUAUUUUUAAUAACUUAAAUAAUAUAAUAUUUAGAGCCUUACGAAUGCAGAUGUGAUUUCAUUUGGGAUAUUACUAAAUAUAUGUUUUUGAAAUUUAUUCAUAAAAAAUGUCAGUUUGACUAUAAGAUUUAAAUUAUUGUCAAUUAUGGUAUAUUUUUAUUUUUGUGCCCAUUUUUAAUUUACAAGGCAUUAAUUUGUUAGUAUUUUAGUGUUUCAAUUUCUUAGUAUUUCCUUUCGUAUUAAUUUCCUAUUUUCAUUAUUGUUUCUUUUUUCUUUUUUUAGUUUGUUUUCCUUUUUUGCUGUCGUUUUUUUUUAGCCAACAUUCUUUUCUUGUUACUCUUUCUGUGUUCCAUGCCGACAUUCUUCACGCCGAUAUUUCACAAGCGAUUAAUUAUUAUUCUUCCUCUUUCUCCUCUUCUUCCGCUUCUUCUUCCGCUUCUUCUUCCACUUCUUCUUCUUUCAAUUGUAGACCUGAACUUUGACUCCAGUGACAAGACUGACAUGAGAAACACCAUGGCAUGUACGCUCUGGGUGAGAGUUCUCAUCGGAAAAUAGAUUUUUGUUCUACAAUUUGAUUUUCAUUUUCGUUUCUAUUUUUCAAUGGAAAAUCAAUUCCUAAUAUGCAAUUUCAUCUCUAUAAAUGUUGUUUUUAUUUUGAAGAGACAAGGUAUGAUUCUCAUUUGUAUUUGAAAAUUACUGAUACAACACAUAUAUAUAUAUAUAUAUACACACUGUAUUUACUUGGUUUGAUCCAAUUUGUUAACUGAUUCGCGUAUGUGCAUAUAUAUAGAGAGAGCACAUACAUCCAUACAAAAUACCAAUUAAAUAAUAGUCUCUGGGUUUCAAAUAGAGUAUGACCCCUCUGCCAUGUAAAAGAAUGCAAUAUUAUCAACCUAUUAUAAAACAAAAGAAAGUUUAAAUAUAAAAACUUUUAAGAUGCUUGACUUGAAUUGCUUCUUUGAAUCUUGAAUCUCGCCAGCAACUUUUCUUGAAUUUUCUUGAAGUCUUGAAGCUAAGAGAGAUAAGAAUGGUGCAGAGAAUAAAAGUAGAAUUGUGUAACUCCUCUUGUGAUAUAGGUUCUUUUAUAUAGACUUUAGUAUUCUAGGUCUUCUUUGAAAUUAAUUAGGAAAAUAAUCUAACUUAGAAAGAAAUCUAAUCAUAGUAUGAAAAGGUCUAGUCUUGUAUUUCUUCCCAUGUAGAACUUCCAUGUGCCUAAAUAAUAUAUCAACUCAAAAGGCAAAUAAUCAUGUGAUCUCAUUCUUUUUUGUUUGCAUAUUUGACAAAUUCCUACGAAAACCUUCCAAUACGAGCUCAAGACCAUAAGGAAGCAAAAUUAAAAUUAAAUAAAAGCAUAAAUAAAAAUCACUAAUUAAUUAAAAACUAUUAAAAAUCCUAUUAAAAACUACAUUAAUAUAAUAAUUACUAUAAAAUAAACCUAUUACUUGCAAAGGAAAUCAGUGACUGUGGAGUUUUUCGUAUGUAUUACUGGUUUUACUAUGUAGGCUGGAUUGUAGCUCAUUUAUGUAGGGUGAAUUAUCAAGGAAUCUUGAGCAAUUACUCAAUCUCAAAAUUCAGUAUAAGGAAUUACUGAAUCGUCCAUGGCAAGUAAAUCAAGUAGCCAACAAACUAACUAAUUCGGCUGUGAAUUCUAGAAUGGGAAUGCAUGUUUUUAUGUUCCUCCUCAGUUAUUGAUUGAGCUUCUUCUAAGGUUAGCAUACAUUUGCAAUAUAUGAACACAUAUGAGUUUCUAUCACUAUACGUCAAUAACACUAACGGAGGAAUAAAUCACACUAACCAAGUUUCAUUGAUCGAAAAUCCAUGCUUAAUUAAGAUUUAAAAUAUCCAACCAAAUAAAGUCACACUCUAUUAAUGACUUUCGUUUGCUUAAAGCUUAUCGGGUUGAUCUAUUUGUACUAAAGGAUUACGCUGGGUCAGAACAUUCUCUCAAGGAUUAUGUACCAUUUUUAGUACUUUUUGCAUAUCAACUUUUUUAGUUAUUAUGUUUAAUGUGUUUUUGGACUAGAUUUUUUCUUUCACUUAACAUUCUACAGUUAGGUUGGAUAUAGUGGAGGCCUUAUUAGCUCGGUUUUACGGCUGGUUUGUUCAUGUUUUUCCUAAUAUUAUAUAAUAAAAUAGAUUUAUUUGCCAAUCAAAGCAGAAAUUUGGAGUAAUAAAUAAAUGAUGAUAAAAUUUGAUAAAAUAGAUUUAUUUUCCUAAUAUUAUAUAACGAAUUUGAAAAUUUUAGUAUUUUAUAUUAUUAAAUACAAAAGCUCGACUUGACAUUCAUAAUUUUUUUUCCCUAUAAAAUGGUGAAACCAUUGCUAGGAGAGAAUGGAAAAAAAAAAAAAGAUUAUUUAAAAUUGAUCCGUAUAAGCUUUAAAUUUCAUAAAAGAUAAUCAAUAAUGAGGUGAAUUGAAUAGAUAAGUAAUUAUUUAAAUACUUUUAAAUUACAAUAGCAAUAAUUCAUCUAAUAUUCAUUCAAUGACAUUACUAAUACAAGCCUUCAUAGAUAUUGAAGGAAAUUUUUAUUUCAUUGUAAUUUAAAUCAUUCCAUGAUUUAUUUGGAGAUGAAGUAAAACUACAUAACAUUAGCCAUUAAUAGGAACUAGAAUGACCACACCACAUUCAUCCACCCAAACCCGGACUCUGUCCCACCUAAACUCCAUAGUCACUGGAGUUCCUUCCUUCAACACAAUAGCAUGCAAAUCUUUGUUCUCUUUCUCUAUGAGAGCUGCAGCAGCUUUCCCAUUCUCCCCGAGCAGCUCCGGCCAUGAGGUCUUACCUGCAAUUUUCAAUUUUCUUGUAACUUUCAUGUCAUACAAAAAAUCGAAGUUAAAAACAAAUAAACUCAGUAAAACUAAUAAAUUACCAGGUGAACACAUAUUAGCCAUUAUCUUUGCUGUAUUGUUUAUCUUCCUCUAUCCUUUCUCACUGAAUUUGAUGAGUAACUACAGAUAAUGGUGGAUUUAUAUAGAAGCUUUCAAAUUUUUAAAAGCAGAUUUUUGCUAUUUAAAAAAGGAAAAGGACAAAAAAAAAAAAAAAAAAUGUUUUAAAACGUGGGAAAAACGUGGGCUGCAAAACGAUUGCCGAAUAAUUAUCCAUUCUAUCUAUACUAAGGGAUAGAUAUUCACUUAAAAAAAAAAAAAAAAAAAAUAUAUAUAUAUGAAUGUUUUUUUUAAGGAGAAGUGAAAAAGACAAGGAUUUUUUUUAUAUAUAAUUUUUGUUCUUUUUUUUUUUUUUUGAUUUAUACCACCGGUAUUCUCAAGCCCACUAGGCUUCGAUUACAUCCGGCUUGAGUAUUACAGGGCCCACAUAGGAAGCGACUCUCCUAACGUGGCAAUUUCUAUAUCCAAGACUCAAACUCGAUAUCUUGGAUAAGGAAGAAGGAAUUUCAACCACUCCAUCGAAAUCAACGUUGAUUGUACUAAAUUUUUUUUACAAAGUUAUGCCAAAGAAAAUAAUUUUAACGAUUAGGCCUACUAAAUAUUUAAAUAAUUUAGUAUUUAUAUUUAAAAUUAUAAAUUAAAUUAAAUUAACUGAAAUGAUUCAUAAUUAUCACACAUUUACAAAAAUAAGUAUGAUAAUUUUUACGGAUUGGAUUGAAUAUAUGGAUUUGCAUAGUUAACCCGUUACUCAAUUCAAUCCAUAAAUUAUAAAAAUGAUCUGCCCUACCCAACUCAUUAUAUUUUUAAACCCAUCUAAUUAUGCUCGAUUGGGUUGAUUUAGAACGGGAUGUGCAGUCCUAGCAAAGAAAUCAGAAAAAAGACAAAUUGGGAACCCCUUGAAUCUCUCAUCUAUGAUAUACAUGGAGAGCAUAUAUUGAACCUUUAGAGGCCAAAUACAUAAAUUGCCUGAACUUACACCAAAAAGUCUUGUGGCUCCCUCAAUUUUUAAAAUGACCUUAUGACUCCUUAAGCUUUACUUUUUUUUUAAUAAUUGCACACUUUGCCAUGCUAAAAAAUGUAAAUUGGAAUGCACGCGCCAUAGGGAGAGUGAUGGAUAAAGAAGUGCCCAACGUGGACUCUUCCAUAGCAUAUAAUUUGAUAAUGAAAAACUAUUAUAGGACCCACCAAAAAUUAACCUUAAUUAUCAAUAAUUCUUGUUAACAGAGUAGUACUUUAACGCUCUAUUUCUCUUCUUUCCUUCAUUAUCUGAACGUAAAAACACAAAAAAUGCAUAUCAAAUCCUUCAUUUUGAAUGCUUGUUUUCUAUUCAAAUAUAUGAGUUUUAUUUUUUCUUUCGAUUUAUGACAGCAAAGCUUGUCAACUUGAUAUUUCUCUUUGAGAAUUUUAGUUUUUUCCAAAUCAUCACUACCAUCUCUAGUAUCAAAACCAUCAAACAUGGUUAAUCAAUUUGGGUUUUUUACACACAAAUAAAUUCUCAAUUAAACUAAACUCCACUUAGAAAUUUAAAAAUUUGCUCAAUUAAUUAUCAAUUACUAAUUUAUUUAUAGUUGAGAAUCAAAAAUCAAAGUUAGAAAGUUUGAGUUUGUAAGAGCACUGGAAAGCUAUUGCACCUAAAAUAACACUGUUAAUAGAAAAUUCAAAUUAUUUUAUGGAAAACCCAUUUGAAUUUAGACCCCAAAAACCCCUAAAUCAAGAGAAAAGAAAAGUAGCCAUGACUUUCAAAACAAAGAAUACGAAGAAGAAGAACAAUAGUGAAACAAAGAAUAUGAAGAAGAAGAACAUCAACUACAAGUAAAAAACCAAAGUUGAAAAUAAUAUUUAGAUUUUUUAAUUUGAGUGUGCUUCUUGUAAAUGAGACUCAUUUGAUAGCACCAAACGAAAACAGUCACUUUGUUGGGGUUGCUUUGUUUGUACAUGUUUCAGCUUCAUCACUUAUAGAGUUUGCUUCAGUUCUGCCAUGGUUGCCCGCCGCUGGUUAUCUUGGCUAUCACUCGCUCCAACAAAUUCAACAUCUCUGUUAAGAAUGAUGAAUUAAUCAAAAGAAUUUUUUAGAUUUAGGAUAAAGUGACUAUUUCGCUUAAGAAUUGAAAGAAAGCAAAGGAAAGUUUUGAAGCAGAGAGAAAGGAAGCGUAGUGCUUGGAGAUGAGAUAAAGAUGAAGAUGGCGACGUUGAUGAUAGGGUAGAUAGGUAGGGGAAUGGUAGAGAUGAGAUCGAUAGAUCUGACGUGGCAAAACUAAUUGCCAUUUGGAAUGCAUUUUUCCACAUCAUCGCGCGUGUAUUACAGUAUUAUUUUUUAUUGUAGCAAGGUGAGUAAAGUUUAAUGUGGAAUUAUUAUAAAAAAGUAAAGUUCAAGGGACACAAAGUCAUUUUAAAAAUUGAGGUGGCCACAAGACUUUUUGGCGCAAGUUCAGGGGCCAAUUUAUAUACUCGGCCAAUAUAUGGAUAAACAUAUAACCACAUGUAUUAAAUCUCUCCCUUUCCAUUAAGUUUGAUGAGAACUAGAAAUAGCGGUGGAUUUUUAGGGAUGAUCAAAUGACCCGAUCCGUUGGAUAUUAGUCUGAUCUGAUUCGAAUUGAGUGGAUAAAAUCCAAUCUAAAUAGCGGUGGAUUGGAUAUGGAUUUUUAAAAUAAAAUCCGCACGGAUAUCCAUCAGAUAUAGAUAUAGCAUAAUUCGAUCCGAAUCUAAUCUGUGAAAGAUAAUUUUAUUUUUUCUUAUAUUUCUAAAAUUGUGGAUUGUAAUUAUAGAUGUUGAGUUAUCUUUAUUUUUCUCUUCCUUCUUUCUUUGAUUUAUAUUUUGAAUCUCUAACUCUUUCACCGUUUUUAUAUUUUUUUUUAAUCUCUGCUUGAAACAAAAGAAUAUAAGUCGAAUGUUACGAUCUAGCAUGAUUUCUUUUGCACUUAACAAUUCUUAAAGUCUCUUCUAGUUGUCAUAGUAUACAAUAAUUUCAAUUAUUGUUAAAAACUUUUGUGUUUUCAAGCACAAUAAAUAUAUUUUUAUAACAUUAUUGUUCUAUUUUUAUUUUUCUUUUAAACAUAAUAAAGAUAGAUGAUAUCCGAUCCGACCCGAUCCGCUCUGACAUCCGAUCCAAUCUGAAUUCGAGCGGAACAGAUGUGGACAUGGAUAUAUGAAUAUUUUCGCGGAUUGGACAUGGAUUUUGUAUAAUUCGAUCCGAAUCCGAUCCAUAAUCAUUCCUUGUAGAUUUAUUAUUAUUAAUCUUAUAUAAUUUAUUAUUAUUUAUUAAGAAAUAUAUUGUAAGAUUUAUUUUUGAUUCAAAACAAAAAUAAAACUCACUAAAAAUAUAUAUAAAAUUAAAAACUAAAAGUUAUGAUAUAAAACGUUAUAUCAGCCAAUCAUAUAACACGUUGAAAGAAUUUUUUUUCUUUUCCAAACAAAGCAACCAUAAAAAAAAAUAUGCGCAUAGAAUUUAGCAAAAAAAAUGAAAAAUAUAUUAAAAUUAUAAACGAUAAUCGUUAUCUAUCCAUAAUAUAUAUUAUUCUAUAAUAUAAUUUCCAAAUAUAAUAAGCCCAAGUUAAGCUUAUCCUUAAUUUUCAAAAAAAUUUCUCACGUGGUAUUUUAUUUUCACUUUAUGUUAUUUUUUUAUAUAUUUAAUAUAUUUUUAUUUUUAUUUUUAUAUUUUAUUGGCUUUGUUGCUUUACACUUUUAAAUAACUUAUUGUGGCAAUUAAAUUUUUUUGAUUAAUUGGUGUUGCUAUUUCCUUAAUUCGUCUAAACCUCAAUAGAACAAUGAUAACAGUAUUAAUAACAGUAUUAAUAACAGCCUUGUCCUUCAUGAUGGAGAAUUCAUUAGUGUAAAAUUACAUUUUUUUAGUGUUUUUUUUUAACUAAUGCAAUAAUAAAAAUUUAUUAUUUCAAUUAACCAAAUAUGGAAACUAAUAUUGAUUUUUCAUAUUUUAGUAAUAUAGAUAGUUUAUGCUAUUAUAUUAUACAUGAAAAAUUAAGUUAAUUAAAUUUAAAUUAUUAUAAAAAAUUUAAAUUGCUUGAUGAGUAAUUUUAUUUUCAUAAAAAUUUGGUUGUUAAAUUGUAACAAUACUUACAUAUAAGUUCUUUCCUUAACAAGUUAGUUAAUUAUAGAAUUUUUUUUAUUUUAUAAUUUCGUGAGCGCUCUUAAAUUUGAAGUAAUAUAAAUUAUUUAUAAUAUUAUAAUUUAUAACAAAAAUCAACACAAUAUUAUAUAUAAAAAUUAGUAGAAAAUCAUUAUAAUUAUCAUUAUCAUUAUAUCAAGGAGAAAUAUUGAGUUUUUGCAAGUGUUAUUUUGACACUUUCUAAGAGAAGGAGACUUUCUAAUAUUUUUGCUUUUGCUUUUGCUUUUAUCUUACUUGACAAAUUUUUCUAAUAUUUCUCUUUUCUUAAUCACUUUUUUCUCUCUCUCUCAUCUAUUAUUCAAUAGUGAUUUGCUCUUCAUUUUUUAUGAAUUUUAACAUUCAAUUAUGACAUUUGAAGAAAUUUAAUUGUUUUGGCUACAUAAUAAAAUAAAAAAAACUAAUUGUCUUUGUAUUCAAUUUUCUAAUCUAUGAUUAUCCUCGCUUAUAUGAUUUUUAUGACUUUUAAAAUAAUGGCUUUUAGAAAUUUUUUUUAUGAGUUCUUAAGCUCUUGACCAUGGUUGUUCAUGUUCUUACUUUUAUUUUCUCUUCUCGGAUUUAUUUUUUUUUCUCUUUUCAGAUACUAUACGGCCGACGCUCUAUUUGAAGAGUGAAACUCUUUAAAAUUUGAGCAUUUGGUAUUAGCUCGAUAGGAAAAAUUGAAGAUUUUGUAGAAAAAAUGUCUCACUUACCUCUCUGAUUUAUGAGUGUUAAACAUAAUAUCUCUUUAAAAAUUAUUCUCUAAUUUUUUACCUUUAUAGCUUUUAAAUAAAAAAUGACUUGAUAUUAAUUCUCUUAUGAUUUUUAAAAAAUAAUAACUCUUUAUAAAUUACCUGUCUCUAAUUUAUGAGUUAUAUGACUUUCAAACACUGACUUUUGGUGUGCUUUCUUUCUUAUUAUGAUUUAUAAAUUUUAUAGCUUUUAUGACUUUAAAAAUAAUAACUUUUAAUACUUUUUAUGAGUUUUACAACUCUUUAAUAUUAUUGUUUAUAUUCUUAUUAUUGUUUUCCCUCUUUGGAUUUGUUUUUUCUCUUAAAAAAAAUUACUGCACAGUCAUGUGAAGCACGAGAGACCGCCUACUAUAUAUAAAAGAGAAACAUGGAGGUUUUGCAAUGUGUUGAUGUGGCACUUUCUUAGAAAAGUGAAACUCCCGAAUAUUUUAGCAUUUCCAUUUAUCUUGCUUGAGAAAUUUUUCAAUAUUUCUCUUUUUGAAUUACUUUUUUCUCCCUCUCAUUUAUUAUUUAAUUAUGAUUUGUCUUCAAUCUUAUGAGUUUUAAAUUAAAUUAUGGCAUUUGAAGAAACUUAACUAUUUUGACUAUAUUUUUAAAAUUUAAGAACAAAAGUUGGAUUACGUAAAAUCAAACUAAAAUAAAUUAAUAGCUUGAACUGAACUAAAAUGAAUAAAAUUAAUUGAUUUUGUAAUGCAUUUUUCUAAACUAUACUUAGGCUUGCUUCUAUUUUGACAUCCUAUGCAAAUUUUUUUUAUUCUUAUAUAUAUAUAAUUAAAGUUUGUUUAAUUCUGUGUAAGAAUAAGAGAUUUUUCGCAUUUAAGAACUUAUCAAUAUCUACAUAUUCUAACUAUUUUACCUAAAUCAUGAUAAAGAUAAAAAAACUUAUAUUUUAAAUUAAUAAGAAUUCAGUUAUAAUGCGAUCCAACCAUUUAAUUUGCUAAGUGCAUGUAACUUCUGCAAAAAAUUUUGAUUUCUUAAAAUUUAAUCAACAAACUUGUUUAACAUCUUAAAUAAAAAUGUUAUACUGUACGUUCACACAAAGCGUGGGAGACCAACUAAGCAAAUUAUAAAACUUUUCAUUUUCUUUAUUUAAUUAUUAAUAACCAUAUAAUAAAUUUAUUUCAUUAAUAAAAAAAACUCUUGGUUUUCUUUCUUUUGCAAUAAUUGAUGAUCCAAAUAAUAAAUUUUUAUAAUAAUAAUAGAACACUAAUUAGAUUUUUCAAUAAUUAAAAACCACAUUAUAAAUUGAUAUAACAUUUUGUUAUUUUAUAAUUUAAUUAUCCUCUCUUUUUUUUUAAAAAUCCUAACUCCCUUUUGGGUUCUAUGUAUAUGAGUAAUAUAUCUAAUAAAUUUAUCACACAAAUUCUUAAUUUCUUUUUUAUGUUCAAAUAUUUUUAGAUAGCAAUAAAAAUUAAUAUCUAGGCACCUAUGAUUAACAAUUCAUAAAAUUUAUUUCUUUUUCUAUUCAGAUAAUUAUAUGCUUUGAGUAAUAAUUUUUAUUUGUAAAAGUAAUAUUUAUAUUUAUUGUUUUAAGUUUAGCUAAGAAAGUGAGUUUAUUUGGCUUUAAUUUGUUAGUGUAGAAUUUUUUUUAUCACUUUUAAAUAUAUAGCAAAAGCUGGAUUAGUAGUUUUUGUCAUCAUAGUCAAAGAAUAAUAAUAAUAAUAAUAAUAAGGCAAUUGACAAAUACUAUCUUUUUAUCAUACUAAUUUAUUUAUAUUUUUUAUUCAAAUUUUAUUUGGUAUCAAUUAUUUAUACGUGUUAAUCCGCACAACGUCCGAACUUACGACUAAUUUAUAUAUAAAGGAGGCUCAUGGAGCUUUUCUUAAUUGAUGACAUGACGCAUCACUUGAAAAGCAAACUCUCUAAAUUUUUAGCAUUUUAUUUUUCCUGAGAAAAUUUUGCCUUUUGAGCUUUUGAAAUUUUAUCAUUCCCUUUUAGUAUUUUUACUUGCAAUUUUAUUUCCUUUUAAUUACUUGAUGUUGACCGUUCUACCUCCUUUAAAUGUUUUACAUUUAAUUUUUUAAAUUUAAUAAUCAUUAUUAUCAUUUUAACCUUCUUAACUGAUGGGAGCGGGUAUGAAGUGGAAACAACCCUUAUCGAAACCAUAUGAGGCAAACUAAAAACAUUAUCGAACAAAUCAAUAAACUGACCUCUUGAAGCGCAGAAUCGCUCACCGGUCUUCUUUUCAGAGAUCUUGGAGUCACCCACGAUCUUCUGCAGUAAUCCCUAACUAUCUCUCUUUUGGAACUCUCUGAGUGGCAGAGAAUAGAAUAACGUGUGUCUCUAUAUUCUUAGGGUUUUCAAAUCUUAUAUUAAAAAAACCUCUCUUCGAUAGGAAGAUAUUUUUUAAUAUAAAAUAAAUUAAAUAAAAAAUUAUUUAAUUAAAAUAAAAUCAAUUAUUUUAAAACUAAAUAAUUUAUCUAUUAUUUAAUACACCCUUAACUUUCCAAAUAAUUAGGGCACUACAGGGACCGCAGGAAUAAAAUAAAUCAGGCUACUAAUUAUAAUAAGAACCUAUGUAGACCAACAUAUUCUUAUUAUAAUUAAUCAUGAAUUAUUCCACUAAAAACUCAUGACUGAACUCCUUAUUUAUUUUACAAUUCCACAACAUAAUAAAAUAAUGUUCCCCACGUUAAGAUUACAGAUGCUGUCAUUUAAAUAACUUACUGACAAUUUAUUUAAAUCACAAUAUAACUUUAAGAGUGUCGCUCAACUUAUUUCAUGUGUCGGAUUCAAAAUCCACCUGCAGGGUUUACACAAUGAAACCUUAUAAGCUUACUUAAAGUGCAUCAUCAAUCUCUAAACCGAGACAUGGAUUCUAUCAUUAAUUAAUAUUUCACAAACACAAAAUAUCUUUGCCCAAUUCACCGAGAAUAUUAUUCCAAUAAUGAAACUCACCCUUUAAUGAAUCAAAGCACAAGACAAUCAAUGUUUGCUCAUAUUAAAAUAAAUCAAGAUUAAGAACAAUAAACAUUAUUUCUAAUGUCCUAGAGAAUAUGUUUAACAGUCAGUACUAAACAUCCAUUCUCUACUUGGUCCAAUUAAAUACAUACAAAAUGUACUAAUCACAAUUAUUAUUCAUAUGCUAAUAACAUUUAUUUAAUGCAAAUUUCCAAUUAAAUACAAAGAAAUAAUUGUCAAUAGAAAAUCAUUCAUAGCUAUACUAUUAAUUAUGCAUGGUUAAUAGUAUAUCUCUAUCAUUAACUUCCUUACACGUUUUAAAUUUAAUUUUCUAAAUUUAAUGAUCAUCGAUACAAUUUAAAAUUGAUAUUAAAAUACUAAAAUAAACUUAUAUUUUGUUUCCAAAUAUUUUAUCUACCUAAUUAAAUUUUGCCAAAUUUCUCUUCUCAUUUGAAAAAUUGAAACUAAGAAACUAAAAUCCCCUUUCCAUUAGAGGAUGAGUUGAUUGCAAUUUCUUUUUUAGAUUGUCAUUUUAUCAUAGACCAAAAAAAUCUACAAAAGAAUUUCUUAAAAAGAGAUGGUGAAAUUUCCUUCUCUUAGCAAAUCAAUUUUCAAGAUUGGUCUCUUACAGUUUAGAAACAAGAAAAUAAGACGAUGAAUAGUCUUAUUCCCCUUUUUUUUUCUUUUAGUUUAUUUGGUUAUCAUUUUGAAGUAAAUUAUCCAGGUAUAAGUUUUUUUUUCCUUCUAAUGAUAAAUUGAAUUUUCCAUGUCAAUAAUAUUUGGGAUCUUUAAAUUCAUUUUAUGGUUUGUAUUACUACAGCAGCAUGAUUCAAAUUAAACUGAAGGACUAGCUAUCUAUUUUUUCUGAUUUUAAUUUAAAAUCAGGUUGACAUGGAAUUAAUGGUUUUGGCUUAUAUACGUUAGAAAAUUAAAAUUCGAUAUUUAUAUAUAGUAUAUAUAAAGAAAAAGUUUGAGAUUCUUUUUUUUACUCACUACUAUAUUUUUUUUAUUUUUUUUUCAAAAUUUCUAAAUUUAUUUUCGAUUUGUUCAAAAAUUUAAUUUGAUGGUUUUACUUCGUCAGUGAAAAAACACUGUGUUUUUUUAUUGCUUUAUUUGUUUUUUUGCUUUGUUUUGUUUUUUUCAAUUUUAUUAUCAUUUUGUAUUUUGCUAAUUUUAGUUUUGUUUUAUUUACUUUUGCAGAGAUUGAAGUGUAUGCAAUAAAAGAUAAUCUAAAUCUGUUUUAUGUAAUAAUGAAUUAAAUAUUACAUUUUAAUAUGUUUCUCUAAUUACAUACUCUCAAGGUAAUCAUAAAUGUCAUUUACUGUCAUUUCAAUUAUAUAUUAUUUCCCUGUAUUGAUAGCAUUUGUCACGUACCCCUUUUGCAGCUUCAUCAGAGCCACGUAACAAGCUCAGUUUGGUAGUGGGACAAUAAAUACUCAUUUACUUUUCCCUGUAUUUAUGCAUUUGUCUACUUAUAGUUCACUUAAUUUUUUUCCCUCAGCAUAUAUCCAUCCACGUGAGCAUGAAGGCAAAUACUGAGAAUAACCAAGCUACACCUGAAUAAAGAUAGAUACACAUGGGAUGUCGUACCACAAGAGGCAAGAGACUUUUAUUGAGAAGAGUUUCAGAUACGAUUUGGUUCAAGUUAUAUCUUAAUUUAAUGUAAUUAAUAAUCUGAAUCCAUGGGCUAACACUUACUCUUGAUGGAAAUAUUAUUUUUCAUUUUUGCAUAAGCAUUUCAUAUGGGAUGAGACUAUUACAACUAUGCUAAAAGUGGUCUGGGAGAAAUUGUAUAUUCUACGGUAUGCUGGCUUCACUUAUAGGAUGUGAAAAAGCAGUAAGAAGCAGCAGUGCAUGUCUCAGGAGAUAUGGGAGAGCUGGCAGAAGGCUUAAGAGGAUUCUACAUUCAAGAGAAAGUGUGAGAUAUUUGCACGAAAUAGGCACAGUGAGACUGGCAGUGACAGAGCAGGACCUUCCCCACACACCGUCGGAUCUAUAUCUGCUAUAGAAUCAUCUCAAUUACUAGUGAGUCAAUUAAUUAGUUACAGUUACAAAAGUGAUGUUUAAUGAAAUGACACCAUAUUAAUAUAUCUUGUAUAAAAAUUCAUUACAGGCUGAAAAAUAUAGUCGUGAGUCCACACCGAUGGAGGUGUUCACUCACACUCACCCAAAGGACCAUGAUGGAAAUACGUUUGUUGACAGAUGUGCAUUGGGCAUCAAUGUAAGUCACAAUGAAGAAUUUUUACAUUUACUUUAUAAUCUUCUCUUACGCAUACAAGUUCAAUAUUUCAAAGCUUGCAACUGCAUUGAUUAAUUAAUUUGUUAUUUUCAAGAGAACCAACUCGCGAGCGUGUUAUUUCUUCUCAGGCUGGGUUUGAAGUUGAGCCCAGAAUUGAUGAGUUAGCACUUUAUCUGGAGGCCGUAGUGGGCAAAAAGAAAAGAAAAGUAUAUGGCAUUGGGUUUGAGGCAUCACAGUAUUACUGCAGCUCAGCGUCUGACACUCCUACAGCCUCCUUAUAACCAUAGCCUGACCACAGUGCUGAGAAGAUUAGUGCACUACGAACUCGUGUUGAUACGUAGGAGAGAUAGCUUGCAGAGCUUAGAGCACAUGUGAUGCGGAUGUCCAGUCAGCAUAGUGGUGGUACUUCUUCCUCUGAUCCUCCGCCUGCUACAGAUCCACAUGUUUGUACAGCUCUGCAGCAGCAACUAUCGUCUACUCUUGAUCCCGAUAUUGCAAACGAUACCUUAGUCACUCCUACCGACACUACAACACAUCCAGCAGAUACUCCUGCCGAUAAUACGAUAAUGGAUCGUGUAGAGGACCGACCAUAUAGAAUUGAUUCCGAACCUUUUUAGCUUUUUGUGAUUGUUUCAUGUUUUGUAUAGUACAUUACAUUCAUAAUUCCAUUCUUACAUUGUUAUUGUGUUGAUGAUGGUGCUUGUGAUUGUGAUGUGUAUAUAUGUCGAUUUUUGACUGGUGGAAAAAAUUAUGGUUUUCAAUAUUAUUAAAUUAUUUUUUUCUAUAAUUAUAUUUUGCAACCGACUGGCGACCGAUCUACAACAAAAUUAUAACUGUUAAAUUUAAAUUUGCGACAGAUCACCAAACAACCACUUUCAACUUUUGCGACCGAUUUGCGAUCGAAACGGCAUAAUUGCGACCAAUUUGCGACAAGAUUUCUGCAGGAAAACAUGACGAAAUUUAGCGACAGAAUUGUAUAAUAUUGCGACCGAACAGUCAAUCGCUAAUUAGUGACCGAGUAGUCAUUCAGUCACAAAAAAAUUUGCGACAAGCACUUUUGCGACCAAUUUGUUGGUGUCGCAAAUUGAUCUCUAAUUUUAGUUAGCGACCGAUUUCUUAGAUUUAGUGACCGAUUUGUCGGUCGCAAUUUAGCUUUUUUUUUUUAGUGUUUAAUUUCUAAUAAUAUUUCCAAUUGCUUCUUUCUAAAAGAAUAAAGUUUUACAUUCUACUUAAUAUACUAUCUCACAUUUACACUUGAAAUUUAAAACAUAAAUAUUAUAUAGACAUGCAAAGUGUAGGUGACUACAUAGUAUAUUUACAAAGGAGAAUUAUGGAGAUGUAUUCAAUAUUGAUCGAUGUGGCCCUCUAUUUGGAGUGUGACUCUCUAAAAUUAGAGUAUUUGGUAUUAACUUAGCCAUAAAAAAUUGAAGAUUUUGUAGAGAAAAUAUGUCUUUUAAACACAUUGACUCUUGAUGUUUCUUAUGACUUUUAUGAAUUUUAAACAUAAUACUGCCUCUGUUCCAUAAUAUUUGUUACAUUUGAGAAAAUAGUUUGUUUCAAAUACUUUUUAUAUUUGUGAUUUUGAGAAGUAAUAAAUAUUUUUUUCAUGUUUACCAUUUGUAUGUGACCAACAAUUAUUACUUUAAUUUAAUGAUUUUCUUAGAGAAUUAAUAUUAAAUUAAGUGUAAUAUAGCCAAUUUACUCAAUAAUUUAUUGUAACUUAUACAAAUUUAAUGGUUUUCUUAAAAGAUGUGAAAUUCCAAUUAUGACAAAUAUUAUGAAACAGAGUAAUAAAUAAUGAGGUGAAUUGAAUAGUUCAAUAAUUAUUUAAAUAUUUUUUUAAAUUAACAACAAUAAUUCAUCUAAAUAUUCAUCCGAUGAUAUUACUAAUAGAAGCCUUCAUAGAUAUUGAAGGAAACUUUUAUUUUAUGAUAAUAUUCCAUAAUUUAUUUGGAGAUAGAGUAAAACAACAUAGCUUUAACCAAUCGUAGGAACUUGAACGACCAUGCCACAUUCAUUGACAAAAACUAAGACUCUAUUGCACCUCAAGUCCGAUGUCACAGGAGACAUUUUAUUCAACACAAUAGCUGCAUUCUACUCUAUUGCACAUUUUCAUUCUCUUUAUCGAUGAGAGCUGCAGCAGCUUUUCUAUUUGCUCCAAGCAGCUCUGUCCAUGAGCUCUUACUUGUAAAUUUUCAAUUUUUAUGUAAGUUUCAUGUCAUAUACAAAAUCAA
rnacentral:lncRNA from 1 species